rnacentral:misc_RNA from 1 species
AAAGUCGUAACAAGGUUUCCGUAGGUGAACCUGCGGAAGGAUCAUUGGUAGAGGGGAUGAGGAGAUGAGGAGAGAGUUGGAAUGCGGGAGAAUAACAUUACAUAAUCAUACAAUCAACAACACAACUGCUGACAAUGGAUCUCUGGGCUCUU